rnacentral:rRNA from 1 species
UACGGGGGGAGCAAGCGUUGUUCGGAUUUACUGGGCGUAAAGGGCGCGUAGGCGGCCACUGCAAGUCGGUUGUGAAAUCUCCGGGCUUAACCCGGAAAGGUCAGCCGAUACUGCGGGGCUAGAGUGCAGAAGGGGCAACUGGAAUUCUCGGUGUAGCGGUGAAAUGCGUAGAUAUCGAGAGGAACACCUGCGGCGAAGGCGGGUUGCUGGGCUGACACUGACGCUGAUGCGCGAAAGCUAGGGUAGCGAACGGG